rnacentral:lncRNA from 1 species
CAAAACGCAACCCUCAGCAGCAACCGUCCUCACAUGCGCAAGAUUGAACCGGCGAUGCAAACCCGCCGUCCUCUACCGGCGACAAGAUUGAACCCUCCACAACCUUUAAUCAACUCACCACCAGCGCUGUCCUCUCUCUCACUCGCAGUCGUCCUCUCUCUCACGAGCCCUAACUCCAAAUCGAAGCUUAACUCCAAAUCGAAGCUUCUCUUUCUUUCUCCGGCCUCUACUCUCACGAAUCGAAGCUUCUCUUUCUUUCUCCGGCCUCUAAUCUCACGAAUCGAAGCUUGUCUUUCUCUCUCACAUCGAUUCAGGUACUCUUCUUUCUUUUUUAAUCCUUUUUAAAUAUUUUCCUUUUCGUGAUUUCUUUGUGUUUUAGCUCUUAGAAUUGUUACGUGGUGGUUAUGUGGUUUUGAUGGGAGAUGGGGAUGAUUAUGGUGGAUGUUGAACUGUAUGUUAACAAUAACUAAUGUUAAACUUUAUACUUUUUGAAACAGUAUCGAUUUUAAGUGUAAUAUAUUAUACAGAAUAACAUUCAAAGAUUAUCCAAAUCCUAAUUUACAAAACAGUACGGACAAGAGUAUUGAAUUUAAGUGUUUUAUAGAAAAUCUUUCAUGUUUUGAAAAUAUAUCCCCCAAAUUUUAGCUAUCAAACAUGAAAACAUGAUAAACUUGUUAUACAAAUAUAA